GGAAUAGCCCCGAGAAAUCGGGAUUAAUACUCCGUAACAUUGCGGUGUGGCAUCACACUGCACUUAAAGCUGAGGCGGUUAAAGAUGGGCAUGCGUGACAUUAGCUAGUUGGUGAGGUAACGGCUCACCAAGGCAACGAUGUCUAGGGGUCCUGAGAGGGUUAUCCCCCACACUGGUACUGAGACACGGACCAGACUCCUACGGGAGGCAGCAGUAAGGAAUAUUGGUCAAUGGGCGCAAGCCUGAACCAGCCAUGCCGCGUGCAGGAAGACGGCCCUAUGGGUUGUAAACUGCUUUUGUCAGGGAAUAAACCCCCGCUCGUGAGCGGGGCUGAAGGUACCUGAAGAAUAAGCAUCGGCUAACUCCGUGCCAGCAGCCGCGGUAAUACGGAGGAUGCAAGCGUUAUCCG
rnacentral:rRNA from 1 species